rnacentral:rRNA from 1 species
GUACACGCUGUGACUAGCAUAUCAAUAAGCGGAGGAAAAGAAACUAACAAGGAUUCCCCUAGUAACGGCGAGUGAAGCGGGAAGAGCUCAAAUUUGAAAUCUUAAAGGGUUUCCCUUUACGAAUUGUAGUUUAAAGAAGUGUUUUCUGUUGAGGUUUUGGUAAAAGUUCUUUGGAAUAGGACAUCAUAGAGGGUGAGAAUCCCGUAUUUGACCUUUACUUUCAACUUUGUGAUACACUUUCAAAGAGUCGGAUUGUUUGGGAAUGCAGUCCAAAAUGGGUGGUAAAUUUCAUCUAAAGCUAAAUAUUGGCGAGAGACCGAUAGCGAACAAGUACCGUGAGGGAAAGAUGAAUAGAACUUUGAAAAGAGAGUUAAACAGUACGUGAAAUUGUCAAAAGGGAAGCGUUUGACACCAGUGUUGUUUUUCUGAAAAUCAAUUAAAGAACUGUUUAUGCUAAGUCUGUUUAGACUUUAUCAGCUAAUCUGUUUGGUUUUGAGCUUUUCUUUAAUGCACUUUUCAGUUAACAAGUCAACAUCAAUUUCUUUUGCUGUAAAAAAGCUUGAGGAAGGUGGCUUGAGAUUCGUCUUAAGUGUUUAUAGCCUCUUGCCUAUGCAGUCGGAGAGAUUGAGGUCUGCAGCGUAGAUCCUUCGGGGCUAAAUGCAUUUGUGCUAAGUUAUAACAUUUUCAUAGACAACUUGUUGACUAUGAUUUGUCUUGUAGCUUACUCGCUUAUGUUAUUUUACCUACGCUUAGGAUGUUGAAGUCAUCGUAUCGCGC